AAGGACAGCCAUCGGGUGACAGCACCGGCAGUCUGCGGAUCGGACGCUCACCAGGCUCCUGGAGAAGACCAAAAGGUCUCCCCUGGGGCAGCCAGCGCCUGUGCCCCGGCCCCAAGAGACAAGGAGGCUGGGGAUCCUCCGUGACUUUCAGGGACAGCAAACAAAGGUCAUGGCAGGUACCCAGCAGGAAGCCUCGGAUACUCACAUGCCACCUACUCUGAGAUCUGGCGUGAACCCUGACCCACAGCCCCUGCAGGGGGAGGGCUCGCCACCCGUGCACCAAAGGCCCACUGGGAGGCCAGGCUGUGCAGCAGCUGACACUGGAUUAAAGGGGCACCUUCAGGAUCAGCAGUCAACUCCUCCCUGACAGACCACUGUGCUUUCAUCAGAGCAGGGAUGAGCGGCACCAAGAACAUCGCUGAAAGUGAUCAUCUGCCCUCGAGUUUGCAGUGUGGCUCCUCCUUCCCGACAGCCCGGGUACUAAAGCUGUAAAUACAUCACCCCAAUUGCGCCCCCUUAAAUAUACUGGCAUGCAAAGCCUGAAUGCAGAUCCGGUAAAAACAUUAAGAAGCAAAAUUAUGUAUCAGCCUUUUUUCUUACGUUUUUUAAAUUUUAUUUUUUUCAAUUACUGUUUGCAUUUAAUAUUAUUUUAUAUUAGUUUCAGGUGUACAACCUCUUUGAUCUGCUUCAGACCAAGAAUACAGUGCUGACAGGCUAUUUCUCCAUCGUAUGGGGAUGAUCUUCCUGGAAA